rnacentral:rRNA from 1 species
UACAGAGGGGGCAAGCGUUGUUCGGAAUUACUGGGCGUAAAGGGCGCGUAGGCGGCCUUCUAAGUCGAACGUGAAAUCCCCGGGCUCAACCCGGGAACUGCGUCCGAUACUGGAAGGCUUGAAUCCGGGAGAGGGAUGCGGAAUUCCAGGUGUAGCGGUGAAAUGCGUAGAUAAUCUGGAGGAACACCGGUGGCGAAGGCGGCGAUCCUGGACCGGCAUUGGCACU